AUGCCAUCACCAUUACAUACUCCCACAUCUAUAAACUCCUUCCGUCGAACUCCCAUCGUGAUACUUCCAACCAAAUGCGGUACCAGCUUAGUGGACACGCCCUGCAUACUCCCUCUGAACUUUCCUCGUUCCCCUUGUGAUUUCCACCUCUGUAUUCAACCUUGCUCCGACCGCCGCGAGCAGCUCAAUAUCUCACCGCCUGUUGGACUUCUUCCGGCCCUCGGAAUCUCAUUGAUUGCCCCGACUUAUCAACUCCCCUAG